CACAAGUAGCUAAAACCGCAUACGAUCUGAGGAUGAAAGCGGGGGACCUUCGGGCCUCGCGCGAUUGGAGCGGCCGAUGGCAGAUUAAGUAGUUGGUGGGAUAAAAGCUUACCAAGCCGACGAUCUGUAGCUGGUCUGAGAGGACGACCAGCCUCACUGGGACUGAGACACGGCCCAGACUCCUACUGUAGGCAGCAAUGGGGAAUUUUGG
rnacentral:rRNA from 1 species